rnacentral:rRNA from 1 species
AAACCGUUGAAAGGGAAGCGAAUGGAGUUAGCAAUUCGCCCUGUCAGAUUCAGCCGCUCGUGCUUCGCGACGCGCGCGAUCUCGAUCCGCAUGGACGAGACGUGCGCGGGUGCGACGUGCGGACGGCGCACUUCUGGCGGGCGAGCGUCAGCGUCGGUUGCCGGCGGGCGACAAGGUCGUGGGAAAGGUGAGCCGGUCCUCGGACCGGCCGUUAUAGUCCCGCGUUCGCAUGGCCCGAAGGUGACCGUGGCUCGGCGACGUGUGCUCGGCUGGCGACUCGAACGAUCGGUCCGACGUGUCGACCGUGGCGGACGGCACGCCUGUGCGCUCGAACUGCCGUCGGUCGAUCGAGCGAUGUUCGCACACUACGCGUCGAAGAUGCUGACGGCCAUACGGCUCCAUCCGACCCGUCUUGAAACACGGACCAAGGAGUCUAACAUGUGCGCGAGUCUCCGGGUGAUCGAAACCCGUGGGCGCAAUGAAAGUAAAGAUCGUCUCAGACGAUUGAGGUGAGAAGCGGGCGUCCGUUCGUCCGCCGCAUCAUCGACCGACCUGUUCUGCUCUCAGAAAGGUUUGAGUAAGAGCGUAUCUGUUGGGACCCGAAAGAUGGUGAACUAUGCCUGAAUAGGGUGAAGCCAGCGGAAACACUGGUGGAGGCUCGUAGCGAUUCUGACGUGCAAAUCGAUCGUCGAAUUUGGGUAUAGCGGCGAAAGACUAAUCGAACCAUCUAGUAGCUGGUUCCCUCCGAAGUUUCCCUCAGGAUAGCUGGAGUCACGAUGCAGU